UCGGAUUGUAGUCUGNAACCCGACUACAUGAAGCUGGAAUCGCUAGUAAUCGCGAAUCAGCAUGUCGCGGUGAAUACGUUCCCGGGUCUUGUACACACCGCCCGUCACACCAUGGGAGUUGGAAAUGCCCGAAGUCAGUGACCCAACCGAAAGGAGGGAGCUGCCGAAGGCAGGUUCGAUAACUGGGGUGAAGUCGUAACAAGGUAUC
rnacentral:rRNA from 1 species